rnacentral:rRNA from 1 species
UACGAAGGGGGCUGGCGUUGCUCGGAAUUACUGGGCGUAAAGCGCACGUAGGCGGCUUUCUAAGUCGGGGGUGAAAUCCUGGAGCUCAACUCCAGAACUGCCUUCGAUACUGGAGAGCUCGAGUCCGGGAGAGGUGAGUGGAACUGCGAGUGUAGAGGUGAAAUUCGUAGAUAUUCGCAAGAACACCAGUGGCGAAGGCGGUUCUCUGGGCCUUACCUGACGCUGAGGAGCGAAAGCGUGGGGAGCGAACAGG